UUCCGGAGUGGUCACACCACUGUUGCUAUGCUAAUGGAAUGACUGGCCUGCGUUGUCAGGAGCGAUGAGAAUGCGCCCUCGGUUUCUGUUUGGCGACAAGCACGAGAAGAGCAGGAGGGGAAACUGAGCCAGAGCAGGAUCAAGGAGACCUUCGCUGCUUUAUAAAUGGACCUGACUCAACAAAGCCCAGCACAUUGUAUCUUGUGCUAGUCUGACACUGCAAGGAUGAAUCACGCUGCAGCUGUACACUUGAGGAUAAUAAAAAGGGUUGCAUUCAGCCGCUUCUCACCCUCAGAGAACGUCUAUCAAAGAAACAUUAAAAAAUGUUUUGAAACCACAGUGCAGCUCAUUUUAAAUUGCAUCAUGUCGGUCUUCUAAGUUACUCUGUUGUUUUUGACCAGUUUUCCACUUUGGCACGCAUGAAACUCAUGACCUACAUGAUGCCUUGCGGAUUACAAAUCAUGAAUAUGAAAUAAAUAACCUGGCACUGUAUAGUUAUAGUACAUUAUAAUAUACAAUUAUAGUAUAGUUAUACAGUGUCAGGUUAUUGAUAUCAUAAUCAGGAUUUAUUCACAGGCUUUAGUCAUUUAUUUGAAACUCAAUGGGAAUUCCAUUAUUAAGUUUCUAUUAGUAUUUCUAAAUGUAUCUGAGUAAUUACCAACAUUCCAGAUGUGAGACUGCUGUUCUGCUAUUGAGGUAUAAGAAGAUGAUAAAGUCUUUAACCACACUU